GUUUAUUUGGUAAGGGUAUUUCUAUCUCUAUUAAAGAUAAUGGUGCUGGUUUUAAUUGUUCCAACAAUCAAUAUAUG
rnacentral:tRNA from 2 species